AUUAAGUGCAUUCAGUGUGCCAGCAUUGUGCUAAGGCUGUGGAUACCAGAUGAAGAAGAUCCUGUUCUCAUCUUCAAGGACCAUGCAGUUUUGUGGAAGAGACAGGCACAUACAAAAUUACAGCACAAAAGCCAGGCUGGUCUUGAACUUCUGACCUCAGGUGAUCCACCUGCCUCUGCCUCCCAAAGUGCUGGGAUUACAGGUGUGAGCCACAGUGUCAGGCCUGGACGUUAUUUUCUGAGUGAUAUAUUAAACAGGAGAGAAAGAGGAUUGGAUUGCAUUUUGGAACACUCACUGAGAGCGGUGUGGAGAGGAGAGCAUUUGGGGAUAUUGUAGUCCCAGAGCUGCAUAGUCCCAGAGGAGACAGCUCGGGGGAACUUGAGUUUGGUAACUCACUGGAUAUGAUGGAGGGAGAGAGAAGAUUCAAG
ensembl:lncRNA novel transcript, intronic to PRMT7